rnacentral:misc_RNA from 1 species
UUAACUAUUUUAUAGUACUCAGACGAUAUAUUAAAAAGAGUUUAGUUUAUCCCCUGGCAACCGGUGAGGGCUGCCAAAGCAACAAGUUGUAUAAUUCAAGGGUGGGAGGUCUACCCGUAAGGGCAUGAACUCUGUAAUGAUCCUUCCGCAGGUUCACCUACGGAAA